rnacentral:rRNA from 1 species
AGUGAAUGCUUGUAGUAUGCAUUACACAUGCAAGUCGAGCGCGUAGCAAUACGAGCGGCAGACGGGUGAGUAACGCGUGGGAAUCUACCGUACCCUAUGGAAUAGCUCCGGGAAACUGGAAGUAAUACCAUAUACGCUCGAAAGGGGAAAGAUUUAUCGGGGUAUGAUGAGCCCGCGUUGGAUUAGCUAGUUGGUGGGGUAAAGGCCUACCAAGGCGACGAUCCAUAGCUGGUCUGAGAGGAUGAUCAGCCACAUUGGGACUGAGACACGGCCCAAACUCCUACGGGAGGCAGCAGUGGGGAAUAUUGGACAAUGGGCGCAAGCCUGAUCCAGCCAUGCCGCGUGAGUGAUGAAGGUCUUAGGAUUGUAAAGCUCUUUCACCGAUGAAGAUAAUGACGGUAGUCGGAGAAGAAGCCCCGGCAAACUUCGUGCCAGCCGCCCGCCGUAAUAC